rnacentral:rRNA from 1 species
UACAGAGGUCUCAAGCGUUGUUCGGAUUCAUUGGGCGUAAAGGGUGCGUAGGGGGCGCGGUAAGUCGGGUGUGAAAUCUCGGGGCUUAACUCCGAAACUGCAUUCGAUACUGCCGUGCUUGAGGACUGGAGAGGAGACUGGAAUUUACGGUGUAGCGGUGAAAUGCGUAGAUAUCGUAAGGAAGACCAGUGGCGAAGGCGGGUCUCUGGACAGUUCCUGACGCUGAGGCACGAAGGUCAGGGGAGCAAACGGG